rnacentral:rRNA from 1 species
AUUGAACGCUGGCGGCAGGCCUAACACAUGCAAGUCGAACGAGUGGCGGACGGGUGAGUAAUGUCUGGGAAACUGUCUGAUGGAGGGGGAUAACUACUGGAAACGGUAGCUAAUACCGCAUACCAUAAGAUGAGCCCAGGUGGGAUUAGCUUGUUGGUGGGGUAAAGGCUCACCAAGGCGACGAUCCCUAGCUGUUCUGAGAGGAUGACCGGCCCCACUGGAAUUGAGAAAGGGUCCAGACUCCUACGGGAGUCAGCAGUGGGGAAUAUUGCACAAGGGGCGCAAGCCUGAUGCGGCCAUGCCGGGUGUAUGAAGAGGGCCUUCGGGUUGUAAAGUACUUUCAGCAGGGAGGCGUUACCCACAGAAGAAGCACCGGCUAACUCCGUGCCAGCAGCCGCGGUAAUAC